rnacentral:tRNA from 3 species
GGGAGUUUAGCUCAGCUGGUUUAGAGCAUCUGCCUUACAAGCAGAGGGUCGGCGGUUCGAACCCGUCAACUCCCA